rnacentral:misc_RNA from 1 species
AGAAAGUGAUCCAAUUUUUUGGCUUCUUCAAUUGUCAUACCCAUACAAGAAGGAUGAAACCAAUCUUUGCAACCCUCGCACUGCACCAUUAGAUCAUCUGGAUUGUAUGGCAUCUCACAUUUACAGUACACAGCUACGCGGUCAGGGGUGAACCCGCCAGUUGCAGCCUUGUAUUCGAAUCUACAAAAGUAAUCCUCAGCUCCAACAUUUUCAAGCUUAGUGUAGUUCUUGAAGGAAUGCACUAUGCACUUGCCUUCAAUUGUGUGUGCACUUUGCACAUCAUAGUGGUCCGAUAAGAAGAGCUCUUUUGCCCCAUGGAAUUGACGGCGG